AGGUUAUGAUGUGGAAAUUUACUCAAUAAAUUCUUAAAUCUUUCCCACCCCUCAAAUAAUGACUCAGUGUCCAAUUGUACAUAUCCUGUAAUCUCUUGACGCAACUU